GACGAACGCUGGCGGCAUGCCUAAUACAUGCAAGUCGAGCGAACAGAUGAAGUGCUUGCACUUCUGACGUUAGCGGCGAACGGGUGAGUAACACGUAAGGAAUCUACCUAUAAGCGGGGGAUAACAUUCGGAAACGGGUGCCAAUACCGCAUAAUAUCUUCUUCCGCAUGGAAGAAGAUUGAAAGACGGCUCUGCUGUCACUUAUAGAUGACCUUGCGGUGCAUUAGUUAGUUGGUGGGGUAACGGCCUACCAAGACGAUGAUGCAUAGCCGGCCUGAGAGGGUGAUCGGCCACAUUGGGACUGAGACACGGCCCAAACACCUACGGGAGGAAGCAGUAGGGAAUCUUCCGCAAUGGGCGAAAGCCUGACGGAGCAAUGCCGCGUGAGUGAAGAAGGCCUUCGGGUCGUAAAACUCUGUUAUAAGAGAAGAACAAAUUGUAGAGUAACUGCUACAGUCUUGACGGUAUCUUAUCAGAAAGCCACGGCUAACUACGUGCCAGCCGCCGCCGUAA
rnacentral:rRNA from 1 species